UCCUGUAGCGCAAUGGUUAGCGCGUUGGACUUCUAAUCCAAAGGUCAAGGCUUCGAAUUCCACAUCGGAG